UACGGAGGGGACUAGCGUUGUUCGGAAUUACUGGGCGUAAAGCGCACGUAGGCGGAUUUGUAAGUCAGGGGUGAAAUCCCGGGGCUCAACCUCGGAACUGCCUUUGAUACUGCAAAUCUCGAGUCCGGAAGAGGUGAGUGGAAUUCCUAGUGUAGAGGUGAAAUUCGUAGAUAUUAGGAAGAACACCAGUGGCGAAGGCGGUUGCCUGGAGCUUUGCUGACGCUGAUGCGCGAAAGCGUGGGGAGCGAGUCCGG
rnacentral:rRNA from 1 species